UUUAAAUGGUAAAUUGCUAUGUUUUAAGAGAAAUUGUGAUUUUAUAAAAUGAUUUUAUAAAUUUUCUGAAAAAUCGAAUAUUGGUUUUGAAAAUAGAGUAAUUGGAGACUGCCUGCUUGUGUUGUAAAUUUAUGGUUUUAAAUUGAAUGGCUUAUGACAAUAAAUGAGCAUGAAUGGCUAAACUGAUUUUGGUGUUAGAAUUAUUUAUACUGUGUAUUCAGCCUUGAGAGGCUAGAUUGCGAUAAAUUGCCAUGUCAUGCUAGAAUGAAUUUUAUUAAAUUGGUGGAGUAUAUAUUAAUUAUUUACUACAGAGGGGGUUCCGUGGACUAGCCUAUUAGAGGGGCACGGUAAACUCCAUUAUAUUAUUACCUCGAACGGAGAGGCGCGUAGGGUAUCUCCUGGGAUAAAGCUUAGGGUUCACUUCACGCCAAACCACCACGUGAAGGGGAACUCAGCCAACGCCAAGGAACAGCUGUAUUUUUCUCAAACUAAAAAUAUGAUUUAUGUGAAAUGUGAAUUUUAACAGCCUUGGCGGACUCGGUUGGAUGCCCUGCGCAAGGUAUCACCGAGUAUGAGUUUUGGCACGAGCUAAAGUUUUAAGAAAUUCAUAAGCCAAGUUGAUUACUCGAUUUUUUAUGGAUUGAUUUU
rnacentral:lncRNA from 1 species